AUUGAACGCUGGCGGCAUGCCUUACACAUGCAAGUCGAACGGUAACGGGCCUUCGGGUGCCGACGAGUGGCGAACGGGCGAGUAAUACAUCGGAACGUGCCCGACCGUGGGGGAUAACGAGGCGAAAGCUUUGCUAAUACCGCAUACGAUCUACGGACGAAAGCAGGGGACCGCAAGGCCUUGCGCGGGCGGAGCGGCCGAUGGCAGAUUAGGUAGUUGGUGGGAUAAAAGCUUACCAAGCCGACGAUCUGUAGCUGGUCUGAGAGGAUGAUCAGCCACACUGGGACUGAGACACGGCCCAGACUCCUACGGGAGGCAGCAGUGGGGAAUUUUGGACAAUGGGCGCAAGCCUGAUCCAGCCAUGCCGCGUGCAGGAUGAAGGCCUUCGGGUUGUAAACUGCUUUUGUACGGAACGAAAAGCCUUCUUUUAAUACAGGAGGGUCAUGACGGUACCGUAAGAAUAAGCACCGGCUAACUACGUG
rnacentral:rRNA from 1 species